rnacentral:rRNA from 1 species
UGGGGAAUAUUGGACAAUGGACCAAGAGUCUGAUCCAGCAAUUCUGUGUGCACGAUGAAGUUUUUCGGAAUGUAAAGUGCUUUCAGUUGGGAAGAAAGAAAUGACGGUACCAACAGAAGAAGUGACGGCUAAAUACGUGCCAGCAGCCGCGGUAAUACGUAUGUCACGAGCGUUAUCCGGAUUUAUUGGGCGUAAAGCGCGUCUAGGUGGUUAUGUAAGUCUGAUGUGAAAAUGCAGGGCUCAACUCUGUAUUGCGUUGGAAACUGUAUAACUAGAGUACUGGAGAGGUAAGCGGAACUACAAGUGUAGAGGUGAAAUUCGUAGAUAUUUGUAGGAAUGCCGAUGGGGAAGCCAGCUUACUGGACAGAUACUGACGCUGAAGCGCGAAAGCGUGGGUAGCAAACAGGAUUAGAUACCCUGGUAGUCCACGCCGUAAACGAUGAUUACUAGGUGUUGGGGGUCGAACCUCAGCGCCCAAGCAAACGCGAUAAGUAAUCCGCCUGGGGAGUACAUACGCAAGUAUG